GCUUUGGUAGCCUAGUGGUUAAAGCGUCUGCCUCGGAUGUGGGAGGUCACAGGUUCCAACCCUGGCAGGGUU